rnacentral:rRNA from 1 species
GACGAACGCUGGCGGCGUGCUUAACACAUGCAAGUCGAACGAAGUGGCGAACGGGUGAGUAAUACGUGGGUAACCCGCCCUCCUUUUUGGGAUAAGCCUUGGAAAAGGGGUCUAAUACCGCAUUAAGGGGGGUGGGCUCGGGGCCUAGCAGCUUGUUGGUGGGGUGAUAGCCUACCGAGGCGGUGCCGGGUAGCCGGUCUGGGAGGGUGGCCGGCCACGUUGGGAGGGAGAUACUGCCCAGAGUGCUACUGGAGGCAGCAGUUGGGGAUAUUGCACAAGGGUCAAAAGCCGGAUGCGGCGACGCCGCGUGGGGGAUGAAGGCUUUCGGGUUGUAAACCUCUUUCGCUGUCGAACGGGUAGGUGGAGAAGAAGCGCCGGCUAACUACGUGCCAGCAGCCGCGGUAAUUC